GUCGACAUCGGACGCUAUGACACACUCGUGCCUUAUGUGCCACCGAAGCCCCGAAGUGGUCUGGCAUAUACCUUCACAUAUAUGCAAUGGCAAGCCCUUCCGUGUGUUCCAAAGACAAUGCCUACGCCUAGCCACAGCAGCUCCCUCAUACAGAGUGCACAAACCAAGAGGCCGUGGAGGCAAAUGCAGGCAGCCAGCACACCUCGAACAGCCACCUUGACUGCGGGUGUGUCACCCUAGUCGCCAAGGAAACAUUUGAGGGAAAGUGACAGGCAAUGUGAACAGCCACUUCUCCAUGUAAACAAUACUCUUUCUCUCGGAUGACUCCUACGCCUCACCACGCCAGCACACUUGUGCACAAAGAUGCCGCAGAGGCACGUGCAGGUCAGAGGCAAGAAGCAGUGGCACUGGUGUCGACAUUUACCCAAUUUCUUUUUCUUGCACUGAGGCAGCCAGCACACCUCGAACAGCCACCUUGACUGCGGCUGUGUCAGUAGAUUCCUGUUGUACAUAUGCUCAUAAUAAACUUCAGUAAACCUGAACUUCAUAAUAAACUUGAAGGCAAAUGGGA